rnacentral:rRNA from 1 species
GACGAACGCUGGCGGCGUGCCUAAUACAUGCAAGUCGAACGCAGUGGGGACGGGUGAGUAACACGUGGGUAACCUCCCAUCAGAGGGGAUAACCCUUGGAAACUGGUGCUAAACUGAUACUGAUGUAUGGACCCGCGGUGCAUUAGCUAGUUGGUGAGGUAACGGCUCACCAAGGCCACGAUGCAUAGCCGGGCUGAGAGGGUGAUCGGCCACACUGGAACUGAGACACGGCCCAGACUCCGACGGGAGGCAGCAGUAGGGAAUCUUCGGCAAUGGACGAAAGGCUGACCGAGCAACGCCGCGUGAGUGAAGAAGGUUUUCGGAUCGUAAAGCUCUGUUGUUGGAGAAGCGGUAUCUAACCAGAAAGCCACGGCUAACUACGUGCCAGCCGCCGCGGUAAUUC